rnacentral:lncRNA from 1 species
GAAAUUUUCUAGUUUCUUUGAGGAAUGAAUUUAAGUGCUAGUAUAAUCAGAUUAUUUUUUUCUGGUCUAUUUAUUAAGUUUCCCCAUAUGGUAACCUAAUGAAAAUUUCUCAUCUUUUCAUUUCAAGCAAAGUAAGCUGUAAUUAUCCUUUUUUUUGGCUUAAUAAAGCUCUGACUAUAAGGUUUUUAUUUUUUCUAACAGUAAUUCUCCUGGGCUAAACUGUGUUUCGCUAAUACAUGGUAUUUAAACCUGUUAUCCAAUCUAUAUAUGCAUAAAG